UUCCAGCGUGGAGGAGUGCGGUGGCGGUGCACUCACUUCCGGAAUUCAGCCGCACAGAGUGGACGCAAUACUCCCGGCACCGCACCGGCGCGCGGCGCGGCGGGCGGCGAAGAGAAGCAAGCGGAGGUUUUCCAAAACUGCGUCGCUGGAUCGCGAAAUAUGUGAUUCACCGGCGGGAAUUCGCAGCGCGUCUUGAGAAUGUGAACAUCGCAGGAAUUCGGCGAAUGUUUUUCACGUAAUGGUGGAAACUCGCAUUAUUUGACGUUCCCGAAAAGUUCGAAGUAAGAAUGGAAUCCCGGCAAUAUACUUUCAAGAAAAGGGAAACUAGCGAGAACGAGAUACAGGAUGAAUGUGGGCGCGCUCCACUGACACAUUUCCGCGUCGGCGCUUUUCCCGCGCGCGCAUCGGGAUUCUUUCAUCUGGCCUCGGCGUAAAAAUGGCGACGAAAAACACAACGAAUAUUCGUCGUCGGGGCGCGCGGGGGGACUUCCUCUAUUACUAAAUCUCGAUCUCGGCGGAUUUGCAACGGCCGGUUUGUAACGCGGAAUGUUCCCUCUCUUUUCUACGGGACCGCAGCGCGCACACAAUGCAACAAAGGAUACGUCGGCGAUAGCGAUGCACGACAGGGAUAAAUUUUUGCUACGUGACGAAUGAACUUUAAUUCAUCAGACUUUGCGGACUCACGGUGAACGAUGUUUGUCGCGCGCGCACGGAGGCGAAACCCAUUCGUGCACUCUCCCACGUUUCCGCGGCGUGCCGGCGAAUACAUUCGCCGGCAAUGAAGUCCGCAGGAUAUGUCCGUUGUAACUGGCAGUUAAAUUAAACUUUGUUUAUCAGUG